rnacentral:rRNA from 1 species
AACACGACUCUCGACAAUGGAUAUCUUGGCUCUUGCAUCGAUGAAGAGCGCAGCGAAAUGCGAUACGUGGUGUGAAUUGCAGAAUCCCGCGAACCAUCGAGUUUUUGAACGCAAGUUGCGCCCGAGGCCAACCGGCUAAGGGCACGUCCGCUUGGGCGUCAAGC